rnacentral:lncRNA from 10 species
CUUCUUAUGAGGAUUCUGUGUGGCUGUUCCGAGUGAUGGGGUUGGAGCCAGGACUUCAUGCAGAAGUGAAGAGCCUGGUGCUCAGCAGAGGGAGUGGCCUGCUUUCGGUCACACAGGAGCGGUGGAUCCCGCAGCUCAAAUUUGUCUUGUAUCACUGAACUCCACAAUGGACAGCCAUUCAUUCCUUACAGAGCCUUAAGACGGCUUAUGAACACUACAAGAAAGCACCCCAGGAGAGACCUCUCUCUGGGGGAGGAACAGUGAACCUGGCUUGCCUGCCUCGGAAAGAAACCCUGAAGGACGUUUUCCUUGUUAAGAUUGCUCUUGUUAAAAAGCUGUGCAGUCCUAAAAUGUUAUUGAACAAUAGCUUUUCACACAAAGGCUGUGUAGCCAACAGUCCCCUCUAACCUGCUGCAACUCCUUGGCUUCCAUCUCCUGCAGAGGCUGCAGGGCAGGAGCCCAGGGCUCUACUGUGGCCUCCUCGGCCUCACCAUCCUCACCAGCUUGGCUUCCAUUCCUUCUGAACAGUCUUCUCCCCUGGGUACUUCUAUUUCCCUGUCUGUUGGGAGGGCUAUAGGAAAAGUGACUUGUAAAACUUUUAGUUAAGACAUCUCUUUAGUGCCAAUUGUUUGUUGGUGCUGUGAUUGUCGAGUUUUGUCUAAAUUUUGUCUAAAGUUAGAUACUUUACUUGGGAACAUUGUCUGAUAUCUACAUCAGAAAAAGAUCCGCACAGGUUAUUUGCAAUCCACUCAAACCAAGAAAUUACCUGGAUAUAGUUGGUGACAAAAGUGAUAGUUGGUAUCAAGGAAUGGGGUUGUCAAAAUGUAUAGUGAAUGUGAAUCUUGCUGUUUGUGUUUUAACUUAUGGAAAUAAAUUUCCCCAAAACUUCUUGGGCUGCUCUUUAUCCCACUAGAUUGUGGGAUGUACAGCCAGGAGAUCACAGACUCUCAGGAUGCCUGGCAGCAAGUGGGGGGCCAGAAUUUCUGGCGGUGGAA